rnacentral:rRNA from 1 species
AACGAACGCUGGCGGCAUGCCUAACACAUGCAAGUCGAACGAGACCUUCGGGUCUAGUGGCGCACGGGUGCGUAACGCGUGGGAACCUGCCCUUAGGUUCGGAAUAACUCCCCGAAAGGGGUGCUAAUACCGGAUAAUGUCUUCGGACCAAAGAUUUAUCGCCUUUGGAUGGGCCCGCGUUGGAUUAGCUAGUUGGUAGGGUAAAAGCCUACCAAGGCGACGAUCCAUAGCUGGUCUGAGAGGAUGAUCAGCCACACUGGGACUGAGACACGGCCCAGACUCCUACGGGAGGCAGCAGUGGGGAAUAUUGGACGAGGGGCGAAAGCCUGAUCCAGCAAUGCCGCGUGAAUGAUGGAGGCCUUAGGGUUGUAAAGCUCUUUUACCCGGGAUGAUAAUGACAGUACCGGGAUGAUAAGCCCCGGCUAACUCCGUG